rnacentral:rRNA from 1 species
GACGAACGCUGGCGGCGUGCUUAACACAUGCCAGUCGAACGGAAAGGCCCCCACCUUGGUGGGGGUGCUCGAGUGGCGAACGGGUGAGUAACGCGUGGGUGAUCUGCCCUGUACUUCGGGAUAAGCUUGGGAAACUGGGUCUAAUACCGGAUAGGACCAUGGUUUAGUGUCUCAUGGUGGAAAAAUUAUUGUUUUGGUGCAGGAUGAGCUCGCGGCCUAUCAGCUUGUUGGUGGGGUAAUGGCCUACCAAGGCGUCGACGGGUAGCCGGCCUGAGAGGGUGGACGGCCACAUUGGGACUGAGAUACGGCCCAGACUCCUACGGGAGGCAGCAGUGGGGAAUAUUGCACAAUGGGCGCAAGCCUGAUGCAGCGACGCCGCGUGGGGGAUGACGGCCUUCGGGUUGUAAACUCCUUUCGUUAGGGACGAAGCCACACCUUUUUUGGGUGUGGUGACGGUACCUUUGUUAAGAAGCACCGGCUAACUACGUG